rnacentral:tRNA from 1 species
ACCUGGAUGGCUCAGUCAGUUGGGCAUCUGACUUCAGCUCAGGUCAUGAUCUCACGGCUCAUGAGUUCGAGUCCCAUGUCAGGCU